rnacentral:pre_miRNA from 1 species
UGAGAAACAUCAUUUGAGUGCAGCGUUGAUGAAUUUCCUACAAUUUUCUAAGAUUUUAAUUUUGUUGAAGGAUUUUACCAGCGCCGCACUUAAUCAUGUUUUUCAC